rnacentral:rRNA from 1 species
AGAACGAACGCUGGCGGCGUGCUUAACACAUGCAAGUCGAGUGCGCGCCUGUAGCAAUACAGGUGGCGCACGGCGCACGGGUGCGUAACACGUGGGUAAUCUGCCCUUCGAUGGGGAAUAACUCGCCGAAAGGCGAGCUAAUUCCGCAUAACAUUCCAAGGACUUCGGUUUUUGGACUCAAAGGCGUAAGUCGUCGGAGGAGGAGCCCGCGCACGAUUAGCUAGUUGGUGAGGUAAUGGCUCACCAAGGCUAUGAUCGUUAGCU